rnacentral:lncRNA from 1 species
CCCCGGCCGGGAGGCAGCCGCUGGCCAGCGGAACAUCGGCCCCGCAGGACGCGGCACCCUCGGGGUAGGUGGCAGGGGGCACCUGGGGGGUGUGGGGCGCAGCGUGGGGACAGCCUCAGCCUGUGGAGGUGGUGACAGUGUUUCUGUCCCCUCUGCAGGGACCCGAGCCCCCCGGUACGGGGCAGAGUGGCCCCCGGGCUCACACCCACGCGGAGGGAGAGGUCAGCAUCACUGCCACGGGACAGGCCAGAGCUGGACCUCGGUAAGGGGGACCCCACUGGCAUGGGGACAGAGGGGACAUGCUCCUCCCUGCACGCCACUCGCCCUCCCCAGGGCGGCAGGAUGGUGUGGGGCUGCAGGACCGUGGGGACAGAGGGGACACGAUCCUCCCUGCGUGCCACUCGCCCUCCCCAGGGCAGCAGGAUGGUGUGGGGCUGCAGGACCGUGGGGACAGAGGGGACACGCUCCUCCCUGCACGCCACUCGCCCUCCCCAGGGCGGCAGGAUGGUGUGGGGCUGCAGGACCGUGGGGACCAGGUCCUGGUGGUCCCACGGAGCCCGCAGUGCUCAGCCCAGGGUGGGUCCUGCAGGCCUAGAGCUGGGUGCCAGUGGAUGCCACCCCUCUUCCCUGUCCUCCGCCGCAGCCUCCGAGUCAGAGCCCUCGCCCGCCAGGCCCCGGGCACCCCCCGCCCUGCGGAAGCACCUUGGGAAGCCGCCGGGGCCGGUGACAUCCCGGGGACAGCACACGGGUGACACAGCUGCAUCUGGGGGAGGUGACACCCCCCGGCAGCCCCAGCACAGCACCCCCAGGAGAACGUCCUGCCCCAGCUGCCGGGCACCCAUGGGCCCCUCUGCGCCGGGCAGCAGGGACACAGCCACACACGCAGAGCGUGGUCCUGGUGGCUCCUGUCCCCCAGGAGCCGAGAAACCAGAGCAACCUGGAAUUUGGUACUUGGCAGCCGCCCCUGCUGCCACCGCUGCCA